rnacentral:rRNA from 1 species
UGCUUACACAUGCAAGUCGAACGAUGAAGCCCUUCGGGGUGGAUUAGUGGCGAACGGGUGAGUAACACGUGGGCAAUCUGCCCUGCACUCUGGGACAAGCCCUGGAAACGGGGUCUAAUACCGGAUAUGACCGUCCAUCGCAUGGUGGAUGGUGUAAAGCUCCGGCGGUGCAGGAUGAGCCCGCGGCCUAUCAGCUAGUUGGUGAGGUAGUGGCUCACCAAGGCGACGACGGGUAGCCGGCCUGAGAGGGCGACCGGCCACACUGGGACUGAGACACGGCCCAGACUCCUACGGGAGGCAGCAGUGGGGAAUAUUGCACAAUGGGCGAAAGCCUGAUGCAGCGACGCCGCGUGAGGGAUGACGGCCUUCGGGUUGUAAACCUCUUUCAGCAGGGAAGAAGCGAAAGUGACGGUACCUGCAGAAGAAGCGCCGGCUAACUACGUGCCAGCAGCCGCGGUAAUACGUAGGGCGCAAGCGUUGUCCGGAAUUAUUGGGCGUAAAGAGCUCGUAGGCGGCUUGUCACGUCGGUUGUGAAAGCCCGGGGCUUAACCCCGGGUCUGCAGUCGAUACGGGCAGGCUAGAGUUCGGUAGGGGAGAUCGGAAUUCCUGGUGUAGCGGUGAAAUGCGCAGAUAUCAGGAGGAACACCGGUGGCGAAGGCGGAUCUCUGGGCCGAUACUGACGCUGAGGAGCGAAAGCGUGGGGAGCGAACAGGAUUAGAUACCCUGGUAGUCCACGCCGUAAACGGUGGGCACUAGGUGUGGGCAACAUU